rnacentral:lncRNA from 1 species
CUCUCAGAUGUUUCAGCAUCAACAUUACUUUCCUGAGAAAAGGCAACGGAAAUCGUAAAUGUCUUAAAACUAAUUGACCAAAGGUAAUGAAAAGGAUUACCUUCUUCUUAGCUAAUUCUUGCACCAUCCCCUUUAACUCUUCAAUCUCACUUUUCAUUUCUGCAAUCUUAGGGUCUCUAAAUUGCAGAUAUGCUAGCUUAUUAGCUGUAAUCCCUCUACCAAAGCCCCUCACUCGUCCAGGUUUGUCUUUUCCCAAAACCUUGCUCACAGCAUCUUCCCUUAUGUUAUCAGCAGCUGAUGUGGAGUCCAUCUGACUGUCAAGUGACUGUAUUUGUUCCUGAUACAAUCAUUUAAACACAAAAUCAUUCAUUGCCAUAGUCUAUUAACUAUACACAAUAUACAACUUCCAUAAUGCUUACAAUAGUCUCAGCAAACUGGGGCUUCACAGGUCUGCCAUCAGCAUAAGUGUGUCCUGCAAUCUAAACCUUGGAUCUACUCACCUUACUUGGGUCUUUACUCUUUUUUUUUUCUAUAUGAAAACAAACAUAUCUCACUACCAUUUUAAUCUAACAAGCUGAUGUACAAUAUGUAGAUGUUUGACUACUCUUUUACCAUAUCAUCAGCUAAACGAAGCAUUCCUUUGCGGCUGGUGGUGUGAGAAAUCUGAUUUCUUCUC